rnacentral:misc_RNA from 1 species
UUGCAAUGCAUGUCUUUUAUGUAUUUAUAUUAAUUUUAUUUAUUUAAUUGAUAUGAACAGAAAAAGACUUUAAUGUUAGUAAUCUUCAUAUCAAGUUAAUAUUUUGAAAUUUUAAGAUAGUUAAAUAAGAUGAAAAUUCUUCUCAUUAUUGGCUAUAAUUUAGCUUUGUUCCCCCUGGAUGUGGCAGUAACUCGGGAUAGAAGGAAUUCAACCACCAAUGACGCCACCCCUGUUGAAAAUAGUCCAGAACAGAUAUUGAGGGUGAGGGGGUCUAAAAUUGAAAGCUCCCUAUCCAGCCCAAAGCAGGUGGGGUGAGAAGGGAACCAUUGAUGUUGGCUGUGGUGGUGGUAGUUGUAAUAAAGGAAAGAGCCAGCGUGAAGUAGAGCAGCCAGCGGAGAGGGUGAGACGGGGACCAAAUAUGUUAUUGAUGCUACCACCAAUCAAUAUUCGCGUUAUUGGCUGCAGUUGGGUAGACCUGCCCUCCACCUACCAUGCCGAAAAGGGCAGUGAAUAUUCCUGGACAGCAGAAGCAGACAAGACCUAAAAAGUUUCAAGCCAUCUUCAGCCAGGGGUGUGUUGAUUCCGAAAAGGGAGGACCCUCGUGGUAUUUAGGGUGGGUUGCUGCUUCCUCCUUUCCUCUAGUUCCCAUUAAUAGGUUAAACCUGGCAGAGAGAAGGAAAAGGAAUAUUAAAUCAGAAACUAUGAGGAAUUGAUAUGUAGUGUUUUAUUGAGGAAGGAAGCCUUUGUUUCUGCGAGCGAACAAUUUGACUUUUGAUAGUCAUACUCUUUUAUCAAUAGUGAAUUCCGUUAGUAACAAAGAAUCUCUCUUGUGAAAUUUGACCACUCCUUUUGUUUUGUUUUAAUAUACCUUAUCUGGUGCUGGUACCUAGCAACUUAAAUCAUUGCCAGCAUGCUAGCAAAGUAUGCAUCUAAUCCUUGUUCCGAGUCUGGUGACAGUAUGUAAGACACAAUGGACAACAUUUAACAUCACUUAAACUGAAUAUUCUUUCAAGCAUAGUGACAAUGCUUUGUUCGCCUAGUUUAGACCACAAGAAAAGAGUAUUGUUGUACCUAACAAGGCACAAUGAAUCAAAGAAAGAAACUUCUAAUGUACAAAAACCCAGCUUGAACAAUAAAACUUCCAUGUUAAAUCUGUUGUGACAAUCAAUUGUACAAUGUUCACCAGCAUGAUCAUCACCCAUUGUUGUGAGUGGGAACACAAAAUUUGAGCAGCAUAUACCAGAUUGCAUAUUAAUUUCAGGAUCGCAUUCUAAGUUUCAGUCACCUUCAAAUUUUACUGCUAGACCAGGUCGUCAUUGCAACAACUCCGUACUCAAAUGUUUUAAACCAAUAUGCUGGCGCUAUGCAUUUUCAUGGCAUUGUGAAUAUAUAUCCUUCUUAAACUUUGCAACACAGAAAAAUCUUAAAGCAAGUGGAAUCAGCUGCUGACUCAAGUGGAUUAAACUAGUAACAAGGUCAUCUUUUGCAGCAGAUCAUCAUGCCAUCUCCUAUGGGUACCAUACUGAUGCUUACACGCUUGUCCUCCGUGAUGGUUUUAUUGAAAUUCCUUAUGCUGACAGUCUUAGCAUCAUUUACCUGCUCAAAAGAUGAUAACACGCACAUAAAUUUAUCCAGAGGGACAAAUUCUAUAAAUCACAGUCAAUAAUUUACCAAUGGAUCUGCAACUUUUCCAUGCCAAAGGACAUUGUCGAUUACUAUGACACCCCCAACCCUCACCUGCAAGGAGACUAAUAAGCAUUCUUACAAGCUGCAAGCAUAGAAUCUAAUAAGAACAUUCAACAAACAAAUCGAAGUAAAUAAGAAAACAAACGUAGAUGGUACCAUUACAUCAUUCUUACCAGCUGCAGUAGUAAUUCAAAAUACUCCUGAUUCAUUCUCUUCUCAGCAUCAACAAAUGCAAAAUCAUAGCUAUAUGAAGUAUGUCAGAAAAUUAAGUGAGGAAGAUCUUGACUGAGGGUCUCCAGGAAAUGGAGGGAACAAAAAUGUCAUACUUUAUCAUUACCUGGAAGCUUCACCAUUCAUAAUCAGAGAACUUAAAAUGUCUGCCGCCAUUCCAUGCUUCACAUUGACCUAAUAUCAAAGAACCAUUUGGAAUUAUGCAGUGAUCACUAGAAGAAUUAUUAGUAGAUAACACGUAGCAAGAGAUUUUGUAAAAAUUAUACACAUAAUAUACUCCAGAAUUGUAGAAGUGCAGCGUAGACAGAAGGGAACUACAACAAAGUAUGCUUCUUGAGAGGUGGUGGUGGCUUUCAAAUUUCCAUGUGGAAAUCCCAAUUGCAACAUUACGAGAAGGAAAUAUACAUUACCUUGUGUGAUACACCAGCUCUCUCGUAGUACCUUUUUGCAACAUCAAGAGAAUUGGCGUCUCUUUCACAGGCAACCAAACAACCUGAUUCCGGUAGCACCAAAGCAACUGCCAACGAUGAGUACCCAGUAUAAACACCGACUUCAAUACACCGUUGCGCACCAAUUAUCUGCACAAGCAGGGCAAGCAGCUGUGCCUGAUCAGGAGAUACCUGCAUCUGGCUGCCACGAAAAGUAGCAGUCUCCUCUCGCAGUUGCCGCAAAAUCUCCGGCUCCCGAACGUUGGAGAGAAUAUAAUCGUAAAGGCGAGGAGUGAGGCUGAUGAUCUGCUUUUUACCGUACUUGUCGUCAUUUGCAACCACGACUGCGGUGUCGGUGCUGGUGGGAGAGUAGCAGUAAUUUCUGGCGAGACGAAUCGAUUUCCAUGCCCUAAAACCGCCGACACCGCUUGGACUUGAUACCGUUAUUCCCUGGGUUCUCCCUGAGAUAACAGUAGACGCAAAAGCGGCGCGUUGGUAGGCUAAGGAAGAGCAACGAUGAAGCGCCCAGGCGGUCGCCAUUUCAGAGUCUUCGAGCUAACUGUAACUGGCCCUUGAUGAUAGUCCGGUCGAGUUGGGCUCGGUCGGGUCUUGUUGGAAUUGGAUUGGAUCACGCUAAGCCCCCG